rnacentral:rRNA from 1 species
UACGUAGGGUGCGAGCGUUGUCCGGAAUUAUUGGGCGUAAAGGGGCUCGUAGGCGGUUUGUCGCGUCGGGAGUGAAAACUUGGGGCUUAACCCCAAGCCUGCGGUCGAUACGGGCAGACUUGAGUUCGGCAGGGGAGACUGGAAUUCCUGGUGUAGCGGUGAAAUGCGCAGAUAUCAGGAGGAACACCGGUGGCGAAGGCGGGUCUCUGGGCCGAUACUGACGCUGAGGAGCGAAAGCGUGGGGAGCAAACAGG